ACCAGGCCCCGGGGCCGCGACGCGUCUCUCCAGCCCGGGAUCCGGGGAGCUGGGCUGUCCCCAGACCGACGGGACAGCGGCAUCUCCUCCACCUGAAAAGGAAAGAGGACCAGUUUGCAGGACUCCGAACUGGGCCCGCGAGAUCUCCACCUGCGCAAAACGAAAGGGCGGAUUCUCCUUGGACUCACGAGGCAACCGCUCCCCGGGGUGAGAACGGGGGACUCAUUCCUCCGGCACUGGGAGAAGACGAUUCUUUAGGAGGAGGACAGGGAAGCGAAUGCUACCCAGAUGUCUCAGUAUACUGGCUCGCGGCACAUCGGGCAAAUGAACCUAUCAGAUAACAACGGCAGAUCAGAUGCCUGAGCAUUCAGAAGCAACAGCUGUGGAGCCCCCGUGGGUUCAGAAGGCCUGGUUCCCGUCUCCAGAAGCCUGGCUCUCCUCCCUCCUGGGCCCACUACUUUGGCUUCUUGUUCCUACGUACAAGGAGUUGCGAAGAAGGCAACUCUUCCCCUCCCUGAAGCCAAAGGAAUGAAACAGACUAGGGCGGGAGAGGUGGCCAUCCGUCAUUAGUUGCGGCCAUCAGUAACAGCAACAGGACACGGAACCUAAGGCUGUAUCCAUCCUGGGCCCCCAGGGAAACAUCAGCGGGAGCGGUACUAAGGAAGUGCUCAUCUCUUAGAGACAAAGGCCCAUGGAGGGGAACAGUAACCAUCCCCUCCCAAUUCAGAAAAUGUUAACAUAAGCACUUCAUUUCUCAUGCAGAUAACCACAUAAGUCUAUUAAUAAGAAAGAAAGAGAAAGAAAAAAAAGAAAAAGGAAUCCAUGCCAGCAGGGUAUAGGAAUUGGUCUAUAGGAGAAAGGGUCACCCACUGAAAGGUGGGCUGAAUAGAAUUCCUUGCCUGGGCUUUGAGGUCCUGGCAUGGAGAAGGCUGUAGAAAUGCUGGCAUCAGUGGAACCCUCAAUAAACAGAAUUCUUGUUAAA